rnacentral:rRNA from 1 species
AGAGUUUGAUCCUGGCUCAGGAUGAACGCUGGCGGCGUGCUUAACACAUGCAAGUCGAACGAAGCACUUUAUUUGAUUUCCUUCGGGACUGAUUAUUUUGUGACUGAGUGGCGGACGGGUGAGUAACGCGUGGGUAACCUGCCUUGUACAGGGGGAUAACAGUUGGAAACGGCUGCUAAUACCGCAUAAGCGCACAGCAUCGCAUGAUGCAGUGUGAAAAACUCCGGUGGUAUAAGAUGGACCCGCGUUGGAUUAGCUAGUUGGUGAGGUAACGGCCCACCAAGGCGACGAUCCAUAGCCGACCUGAGAGGGUGACCGGCCACAUUGGGACUGAGACACGGCCCAAACUCCUACGGGAGGCAGCAGUGGGGAAUAUUGCACAAUGGGCGAAAGCCUGAUGCAGCGACGCCGCGUGAGCGAAGAAGUAUUUCGGUAUGUAAAGCUCUAUCAGCAGGGAAGAUAAUGACGGUACCUGACUAAGAAGCACCGGCUAAAUACGUGCCAGCAGCCGCGGUAAUACGUAUGGUGCAAGCGUUAUCCGGAUUUACUGGGUGUAAAGGGAGCGCAGGCGGUGCGGCAAGUCUGAUGUGAGAGCCCGGGGCUCAACCCCGGUACUGCAUUGGAAACUGUCGUACUAGAGUGUCGGAGGGGUAAGCGGAAUUCCUAGUGUAGUGGUGAAAUGCGUAGAUAUUAGGAGGAACACCAGUGGCGAAGGCGGCUUACUGGACGAUAACUGACGCUGAGGCUCGAAAGCGUGGGGAGCAAACAGGAUUAGAUACCCUGGUAGUCCACGCCGUAAACGAU